rnacentral:misc_RNA from 1 species
GAUGAAGAACGCAGCGAAAUGCGAUACGUAAUGUGAAUUGCAGAAUUCAGUGAAUCAUCGAGUCUUUGAACGCACAUUGCGCCCCCUGGUAUUCCGGGGGGCAUGCCUGUCCGAGCGUCAUUGCUGCCCUCAAGCCCGGCUUGUGUGUUGGGUCUCGUCCCCCUUCCCGGGGGGACGGGCCCGAAAGGCAGCGGCGGCACCGCGUCCGGUCCUCGAGCGUAUGAGGCUUUGUCACCCGCUCUGUAGGCCCGGCCGGCGCUUGCCGAUCAACCAAAACUUUUUUCCAGGUUGACCUCGGAUCAGGUAGGGAUACCCGCUGAACUUAAGCAUAUCAAUAAGCGGAGGA